UUUUGUUCAAGAAUUUUCAGUGUCUAUCAUCUCUACCUUGUUAUAUUAUUUGCCUCUGGGGUUUCUCCCCUCCUCUGUGAGAUCCCCAUUGAUUCAGAUAUGUUGUACACUCCUCCCCUGCCCUUAUCUUAUUGGUUGCCUUGUGUCUCCUCCCUCCAUGCCCACUCCCUUUAUCAGUUCCUCCCCGAGCCCUUCUCCCUUGACACUCGACCCUGGAACCAUCGAGGAAUAAAGCCUCCUUGUUAGCCAUACAGGUGUCCUCUCUUUGCUUCCUCUGCCUUGGAUUCUUUGUUGCCUCACUCUCUCCUGUGCCACCCACGCUGCAGACGGCAUCACCACCUGGGAUCCAGUAGGGGGACUCAGGGGUGGCAAAUCUUGUGGCCUCCUCCAGCCAAGAUUUGGGAGCAGCUAGCUGGGACUGACUGGCUCGCAUGGCCGCCGAGAAGUGCUGCACAAUUGAACUCUGGAGCCCAGCUGUGGGCCCUGGAAUUCAGCGGAAAACUGGAAAGGCUUUUUACAAGGACUGACAGUGAAGAGCUAACAGAUGAAUGUGUGUGGCAUUUCGAGAGGCUUCCAAUUUUCUACAUUUUUCCUUGAACUGUUGAACUUGACUUCUUCUUUGCCUCCUCUUGCACUAAAGGAGCCUCAUCUCACCAGCCAGGAAGGCAAAGCUUAUUCCUUAUUCCUGGCCCUAUGGAUGGGUGCUGUCCAUGCAGCAUUUCCAUCCCUCCCAUGGCCUCUUCCCUCAGAGUCCCAGGAGCAGCUGCUAGAGAACAUGGAAGCUGCAGAUGGAACUGCUGCCCAGCCCAGCUUGAAGCUACACAAGAAUCCUUCUGACAGGAGCCCCAAUAUUCCUUCCCAGAGGCACUGAAAACACUUCCCUAUCUGUUUUGCCUGUUCCAUGCAGACAUCACAAGAAACAUCCUGUCUUUCCUUUGGGGCAAGGCCAGGACCCCAAAUUCACACUCAAAAUGCUGGAUUGCGGCUCAUUUCUGCAUCUGGCUGUCAGUAUCCACGGAGGAAAGGUUAAUUCUACUACCAAAUUAACUAGUUGAAGUUGAAGAUAUGUUGAACUUGGCAUUUAAAACCUGUCCAUGGUGCCUGUCAUGGGUCUUUGCCAGCUCCUCAUGGCCUGCAAGGAGCAACUGAAGAGCAAGAGCUGGCAUGGAGGAGGUACGACACGUGGGUGCAGAGGAGAUGCAGCACUUGAGGACAGCUUUUUGUGCUAGUUAGGACUUUCUAAAUAAAAACUCUAUUAAACCUCAA